AAGAUAGAGACAAGUGCAACCCCAUUUUACAAAAGAACAAAUUUUUUAAAACGUCAAAAUUAAUAAAACAUUAACAAAAAAGUAAGUAAGCGAGUCGAGGAAGUGAAAUUAAUAAUUAAAGUGAAAUUAAUAAUUCCAAGGAAAGCGUACUUCACUCAUAUGGACUAAAAACACAACAACAUCCGCUUAUCACACUCAUUCAAAACAAAGGUGUUGACAUGAAUGACAUCGCCAAUAAAAUUAAUGGAAUUUGUAAUUAUCAAGACAAACAAAUAAAGAAACACAGCACAGAAUAUCUUCGCCCGGUUUUUUUGUACAUUCUUUGUAACCCAGAGACACUGCCUUAUUCUAAAACUAUCUGGACUGGUUUGCUUUCUUUGGCUAAAACCCAGACAAAUGCAAAACAUCUCACGAAAGAAAUUAUCUUAUGCUCGAAGAUAUCAUCACAGAUGGUGUAGCCUUGGCCCAUCAGAUUGUAAGAAAAAUUCUUUCAUUAAACAAAUUGGCACCAGAAACAGAACAGCAACAAAAAAUUUCUACGAAAGAAUUUUCAAAACACAUCAGGAAUAUCCAUUCCAAUAUUGCAAUUGCAUUUGAUUUAUCUAAAUUAGUUGAAGGUUUUGAUGAGUCGGAAUUCAAAGAUGUAUUCACUUUUGUCGAUGCGCUGAAUGUCUAAGCUAAUAGUAUUUUGGCCCAUAUAACAUACAGAUUAUAUAUUUAUCCAUUUAUCAUUGGUGUGGAAUGAUAAAUCUAUAUAAUAUCAACUAAAAAAACUUCUUGCAGCACGAUUUGUACGUUAGAUGAUUAAAAUAUUCACACUUUGAGAAAUUUUGGUACGAUUCGUCAUUUUUCUUGUGACAAUUUUUAUUAAUGUAUAAAAAAUAACCAAAUUUAACUUAUGGACAUGUCCGGGAACCAAUGGAAACUUUUCUAACGGAAACAUUAAAUUCAUAGCCAUGUGUCGUGUUCUGUGGUCAUCCGAGUUUGAGAUUUGGCGUUGCGGUCCACUUUAUUGAAAUAACCUGACUUCCCAUAUCUUCAAGUGCUGGCUCCUUUCCAACCCUUGUCCAUGAAGGCAUUCUAUUGUCCCAUCGAUACGUCACUGAACUAUCAACAAGCAAACAAGCUGAUUAAGGAACUAAAACCUAGUGUCUUGGUUAUUCCUGAAAACUAUACAAAACCGCAUCCAAUUGCUCCACAACUUUAUAUUGAACAACCGGACAAGAAAAUCUUCACUUUCAAAUGUGGCGAAAUCAUUCGAUUGCCACUCAAACGAAAAAUGGAUCGAGUCUAUCUUACAUCUGAAUAAGCAUAAAAAAUUGUUCCUCGUGAAAUAACUCCCGGUGUAACAAUAUCCACAUUACCUAACUGGAAUUCUUGAAGUCAAAGAUAAAGUACAUAAUAUUGCUCCAUGUGAUGAUGAAUCGGAUAGUAAAGCAAAUACAAGUGCUGGCACAACUCUACAUCCACCUAAACGUGAAGAAGUUCUAAAGAA